rnacentral:rRNA from 1 species
CCUACGGAGGCAGCAGCCGCGGUAAUAGCCCCUACGGGAGGCAGCAGUGAGGAAUAUUGGUCAAUGGACGAGAGUCUGAACCAGCCAAGUAGCGUGCAGGACGACGGCCCUAUCGGGUUGUAAACUGCUUUUAUGCGGGAUCAAUGGCAGUCACGUGUGACAGAGAUGUGCGUACCGCAUGAAUAAUGACCGGCUAAUUCCGUGCCAGCAGCCGGGU